AACGCAUAUUGCACCUUAGAGUAUUCUCUAAGGUAUACCUGUUUGAGCGUCGUUUAGAACGUAAAGCAUUGUCUUUUUGUUGAACUUUGGUUGGAAACAUACCAAUAUUCUAAACAUAAUGGCGUUAUUUUGUUAGCCGAUGCACAGCGAAAAUGUGUAGCUUGUUAACACGAAUACUAUUGCCAGUGAUGACAUGUUCGACCUCAAAUCAAGUAAGACUACCCGCUGAACUUAA
rnacentral:misc_RNA from 1 species